AGUUCUAUAGCUCAGUGGCCAGAGCACCGGGUAGAUAACCCGGAGGUCAUCGGUUCGAAUCCGGUUAGAACUA
rnacentral:tRNA from 1 species